rnacentral:rRNA from 1 species
AAGUCGAGCGAGAACCAGGGCUUCGGCUCUGGGGACAGCGGCGAACGGGUGAGUAACACGUGGGUAAUCUGCCCUCGGCAUCGGGAUAGCCCGGGGAAACCCGGAUUAAUACCGAAUAGCCUCCGGAGCCUUCGGGCGUCGGAGAAAAGGUAGCUUCGGCCUCUAGCCGAGGAUGAGCCCGCGGCGGAUUAGCUCGUUGGCGGGGUAACGGCCCACCAAGGCGACGAUCCGUAGCUAGUCUGAGAGGACGAUCAGCCACACUGGGACUGAGACACGGCCCAGACUCCUACGGGAGGCAGCAGUGGGGAAUCUUGCGCUAAUGCGGGAAACCGUGACGCAGCGACGCCGCGUGGGGGAAGAAGGCCUUCGGGUUGUAAACCUCUUUCAGGAGGGACGAAGCUACUCGGGUUAAUAGCCCAGAGGGUGACGGUACCUCCAGAAGAAGCCCCGGCUAACUACGUGCCAGCAGCCGCGGUAAUACGUAGGGGGCGAGCGUUGUCCGGAUUUAUUGGGCGUAAAGAGCGUGUAGGCGGCUUGGUAGGUCCGCUGUGAAAACUCGAGGCUCAACCUCGAGAUGUCGGCGGAAACCACUUGGCUAGAGUCCGGAAGAGGAGAGUGGAAUUCCCGGUGUAGCGGUGAAAUGCGCAGAUAUCGGGGAAGAACACCUAUGGCGAAGGCAGCUCUCUGGGACGGUACUGACGCUGAGACGCGAAAGCGUGGGGAAGCAAACAGGAUUAGAUACCCUGGUAGUCCACGCCGUAAACGAUGGGUGCUAGGUGUGGGGCGGUGUCGACUCCUUCCGUGCCAAACUAACGCAUUAAGCACCC